GAUGAACGCUAGCGGCAGGCCUAAUACAUGCAAGUCGAGGGGUAACAUGACGCUUCGGUGUUGAUGACGACCGGCGCACGGGUGCGUAACGCGUAUGCAAUCUACCUACAGCAGAGGGAUAGCCCGUGGAAACAUGGAUUAAUACCUCAUAAUACAGGGGGCCCACCUGGGCAUAUUGUUAAAGAUUUAUCGGCUGUAGAUGAGCAUGCGUCCCAUUAGCUAGUUGGUACGGUAACGGCGUACCAAGGCGAUGAUGGGUAGGGGUUCUGAGAGGAUGAUCCCCACACUGGUACUGAGAUACGGACCAGACUCCUACGGGAGGCAGCAGUAGGGAAUAUUGGUCAAUGGACGAAAGUCUGAACCAGCCAUGCCGCGUGCAGGAAGACGGCCUUCUGGGUUGUAAACUGCUUUUCUCAGGGAAGAAAAAGGUCUUGCGAGACAAAUUGCCGGUACCUGAGGAAUAAGCACCGGCUAACUCCGUG
rnacentral:rRNA from 1 species